rnacentral:rRNA from 1 species
AUGAACGCUGGCGGCGUGCCUAAUACAUGCAAGUCGAGCGAACGGACGAGAAGCUUGCUUCUCUGAUGUUAGCGGCGGACGGGUGAGUAACACGUGGAUAACCUGCCUAUAAGACUGGGAUAACUUCGGGAAACCGGAGCUAAUACCGGAUAAUAUUUUGAACCGCAUGGUUCAAAAGUGAAAGACGGUCUUGCUGUCACUUAUAGAUGGAUCCGCGCUGCAUUAGCUAGUUGGUAAGGUAACGGCUUACCAAGGCAACGAUGCAUAGCCGACCUGAGAGGGUGAUCGGCCACACUGGAACUGAGACACGGUCCAGACUCCUACGGGAGGCAGCAGUAGGGAAUCUUCCGCAAUGGGCGAAAGCCUGACGGAGCAACGCCGCGUGAGUGAUGAAGGUCUUCGGAUCGUAAAACUCUGUUAUUAGGGAAGAACAUAUGUGUAAGUAACUGUGCACAUCUUGACGGUACCUAAUCAGAAAGCCACGGCUAACUACGUG